rnacentral:rRNA from 1 species
UGGGGAAUAUUGGACAAUGGGGGAAACCCUGAUCCAGCCAUGCCGCGUGAGUGAUGAAGGCCUUAGGGUUGUAAAGCUCUUUUACCAGGGAUGAUAAUGACAGUACCUGGAGAAUAAGCUCCGGCUAACUCCGUGCCAGCAGCCGCGGUAAUACGGAGGGAGCUAGCGUUGUUCGGAAUUACUGGGCGUAAAGCGCGCGUAGGCGGCUUAUCAAGUCAGAGGUGAAAGCCCGGAGCUUAACUCCGGAACUGCCUUUGAAACUAGUAAGCUAGAAUCUUGGAGAGGUGAGUGGAAUUCCGAGUGUAGAGGUGAAAUUCGUAGAUAUUCGGAAGAACACCAGUGGCGAAGGCGACUCACUGGACAAGUAUUGACGCUGAGGUGCGAAAGCGUGGGGAGCAAACAGGAUUAGAUACCCGUGUAGUCC